GUGCACCAGAUACUAGCCUGGUCUUCUGUGUCCUGUGCUUAUCGUGGCUUGGGAAACACUGUGAUUUCUGGGUCUAAAGGUGCCAAAUUAAAUAUGCCAGGAGCUAUUUAAGCUCAUUGUGUGAAGACUCACCGUGGGUUAUUACUCACUGGCACAGAG